GGCCAAAUAGUUUAAUGGUAGAAUACAUGCUUUGGGAGCAUGGGACCGGAGUUCGAUUCUCCGUUUGGCCC
rnacentral:tRNA from 1 species